AUCAACAACCUGAUUUGAUUCAG
rnacentral:snRNA from 1 species